AGCGAACGCUGGCGGCAGGCUUAACACAUGCAAGUCGAGCGGGCCCUUCGGGGUCAGCGGCGGACGGGUGAGUAACGCGUGGGAACGUGCCUUCUGGUCUGGAAUAACCCUGGGAAACUAGGGCUAAUACCGGAUACGCCCUUUUGGGGAAAGGUUUACUGCCGGAAGAUCGGCCCGCGUCUGAUUAGCUAGUUGGUGGGGUAACGGCCUACCAAGGCGACGAUCAGUAGCUGGUCUGAGAGGAUGAUCAGCCACACUGGGACUGAGACACGGCCCAGACUCCUACGGGAAGCAGCAGUGGGGAAUAUUGGACAAUGGGCGCAAGCCUGAUCCAGCCAUGCCGCGUGAGUGAUGAAGGCCUUAGGGUUGUAAAGCUCUUUUAUCCGGGACGAUAAUGACGGUACCGGAGGAAUAAGCCCCGGCUAACUUCGUG
rnacentral:rRNA from 1 species